AGCAGCCGCGGUAAUUCCAGCUCCAAUAGCGUAUAUUAAAGUUGUUGCAGUUAAAAAGCUCGUAGUUGAAUUUCGGGGUUAGUAGGUUGGUCGUGCCUUUGGUAUGUACUGGUCUCACUGAUUCCUCCUUCUUGAAGAACUGUAAUGUCAUUAAUUUGGUGUUGCAGGGAAACAGGACUGUUACUUUGAAAAAAUUAGAGUGUUUAAAGCAGGCUAACGCCUGAAUACAUUAGCAUGGAAUAAUGAAAUAGGACGUUCGAUCCUAUUUUGUUGGUUUCUAGGAUUGACGUAAUGAUUAAUAGGGAUAGUUGGGGGCAUUAGUAUUCAAUUGUCAGAGGUGAAAUUCUUGGAUUUAUUGAAGACUAACUACUGCGAAAGCAUUUGCCAAGGAUGUUUUCAUUAAUCAAGAACGAAAGUUAGGGGAUCGAAGACGAUCAGAUACCGUCGUAG
rnacentral:rRNA from 1 species